GUGACUGCGUACCUUUUGUAUAAUGGGUCAGCGACUUAUAUUCUGUAGCAAGGUUAACCGUCUAGGGGAGCCGCAGGGAAACCGAGUCUUAACUGGGCGUUAAGUUGCAGGGUAUAGACCCGAAACCCGGUGAUCUAGCCAUGGGCAGGUUGAAGGUUGGGUAACACUAACUGGAGGACCGAACCGACUAAUGUUGAAAAAUUAGCGGAUGACUUGUGGCUGGGGGUGAAAGGCCAAUCAAACCGGGAGAUAGCUGGUUCUCCCCGAAAGCUAUUUAGGUAGCGCCUCGUGAAGUCAUCUUCGGGGGUAGAGCACUGUUUCGGCUAGGGGGUCAUCCCGACUUACCAACCCGAUGCAAACUGCGAAUACCGAAGAAUGUUAUCACGGGAGACACACGGCGGGUGCUAACGUCCGUCGUGAAGAGGGAAACAACCCAGACCGCCAGCUAAGGUCCCGAAGUCAUGGUUAAGUGGGAAACGAAGUGGGAAGGCUCAGACAGCCAGGAUGUUGGCUUAGAAGCAGCCAUCAUUUAAAGAAAGCGUAAUAGCUCACUGGUCGAGUCGGCCUGCGCGGAAGAUGUAACGGGGCUAAACCAUGCACCGAAGCUGCGGCAGCGACAUGAAAGUGUUGUUGGGUAGGGGAGCGUUCUGUAAGCCGCAGAAGGUGGCCUGUGAGGGCUGCUGGAGGUAUCAGAAGUGCGAAUGCUGACAUAAGUAACGAUAAAGCGGGUGAAAAACCCGCUCGCCGGAAGACCAAGGGUUCCUGUCCAACGUUAAUCGGGGCAGGGUGAGUCGACCCCUAAGGCGAGGCCGACAGGCGUAGUCGAUGGGAAACAGGUUAAUAUUCCUGUACUCGGUGUGACUGCGAAGGGGGGACGGAGAAGGCUAGGCCAGCCGGGCGACGGUCGUCCCGGUUGAAGCGUGUAGGUGGGUGGUUUUGGAAAAUCCGGACCGCUGUUAACACUGAGGCGUGAUAACGAGGCACUACGGUGCCGAAGUGGUUGAUGCCCUGCUUCCAGGAAAAGCCUCUAAGCAUCAGGUCACAAUGAAUCGUACCCCAAACCGACACAGGUGGUCAGGUAGAGAAUACUCAGGCGCUUGAGAGAACUCGGGUGAAGGAACUAGGCAAAAUGGUGCCGUAACUUCGGGAGAAGGCACGCUGGCGCCAGGUGAAGGAACGAGCUUCCGGAGCCGAGGCCAGUCGCAGAUACCAGCUGGCUGCAACUGUUUAAUAAAAACACAGCACUGUGCAAACACGCAAGUGGACGUAUACGGUGUGACGCCUGCCCGGUGCUGGAAGGUUAAUUGAUGGGGUUAUCGCGUUGCGAGAAGCUCUUGAUCGAAGCCCCAGUAAACGGCGGCCGUAACUAUAACGGUCCUAAGGUAGCGAAAUUCCUUGUCGGGUAAGUUCCGACCUGCACGAAUGGCGUAAUGAUGGCCAGGCUGUCUCCACCCGAGACUCAGUGAAAUUGAACUCGCUGUGAAGAUGCAGUGUACCCGCGGCAAGACGGAAAGACCCCGUGAACCUUUACUAUAGCUUGACACUGAACCUUGAGCCUUGAUGUGUAGGAUAGGUGGGAGGCCUGGAAGUGCGGACGCCAGUCUGCAUGGAGCCAACCUUGAAAUACCACCCUUGAAUGUUUGAUGUUCUAACGCAGGCCCGUGAUCCGGGUUGCGGACAGUGUCUGGUGGGUAGUUUGACUGGGGCGGUCUCCUCCCAAAGCGUAACGGAGGAGCACGAAGGUUAGCUAAUCACGGUCGGACAUCGUGAGGUUAGUGCAAUGGCAUAAGCUGGCUUGACUGCGAGAGUGACAGCUCGAGCAGGUGCGAAAGCAGGUCAUAGUGAUCCGGUGGUUCUGCAUGGAAGGGCCAUCGCUCAACGGAUAAAAGGUACUCCGGGGAUAACAGGCUGAUACCGCCCAAGAGUUCAUAUCGACGGCGGUGUUUGGCACCUCGAUGUCGGCUCAUCACAUCCUGGGGCUGAAGCAGGUCCCAAGGGUACGGCUGUU
rnacentral:rRNA from 1 species